rnacentral:rRNA from 1 species
UACGUAUGGAGCAAGCGUUAUCCGGAUUUACUGGGUGUAAAGGGAGUGUAGGUGGCCAUGCAAGUCAGAAGUGAAAAUCCGGGGCUCAACCCCGGAACUGCUUUUGAAACUGUAAGGCUGGAGUGCAGGAGGGGUGAGUGGAAUUCCUAGUGUAGCGGUGAAAUGCGUAGAUAUUAGGAGGAACACCAGUGGCGAAGGCGGCUCACUGGACUGUAACUGACACUGAGGCUCGAAAGCGUGGGAAGCAAACAGG